ACCUAUGGCCAUACCACUGUGAAUGUGUCUGAUCUCAGAUGCUAAGCAGGGUUGGACCUCGUUAGUACUUAGAUGGGAGUCUGCCUGGGAAUACAGGGUGCUGUAGGCU
ensembl:rRNA 5S_rRNA 5S ribosomal RNA